rnacentral:lncRNA from 1 species
CCCAACUUCAAGAAUCCCAUACUGGACAAGAAGAAAUGGUGGCCAUUGGAGGACUCUGUGCUUUUGAAUGAUGCCUCAAGCUGCAGUGCAGUGAAUGAUUCCAUCUUGAGUGGACCCAUCGCCAGUUCAGAGGCUCUUGUAGUGAUGCAGGGGGACGUAAAUCUACCUGAAGAUAAAGAUGUAAAAGGAAAUGCUCAAUUUUCAUAAGAUUGUAACUAAAAAAAUUAAUGAAGACGUUUUAGUGUUAUAAUUCCUGUAAGCCCCCCAGUACAUAGUUGUAUAUUCUUCAUUGUGGGUCCUUCCAGUUGUGGCAUGUGGGACGCCGCCUCAGCGUGGUUUGAUGAGCAGUGCCGUGUCCGUGCCCAGGAUUCGAAACCAACGAAACACUGGGCCGCCUGCAGCGGAGUGCGUGAACUUAACCACUCAGCCACGGGGUAAGCCCCUGCAGCUGUUAAAUUUUGCAAGUCAAGAUCAAGUGGAGAAGGAGAUGCUACCAGAUGAGGAAAUCAAAGCCCAGAGAAGUCAAGCAACUUGUCCAAGAUUGCAGAGCUGGUGUGUCUUGAGGGGAAAAAUCAAGAAGCAUCUUGAACAGCAGCAGCUGUAAGCAGGGAAUAAUGGGCGGCAGGCAGACUGAGAAGCCAACAUGUUUUUCUGAAUGGAGGCUUCUGGGCUAAAGAAGAUCCCAGUUCUGUUGGAGGAGCAUGGCCCUGGCCCAGCACCUUGUUCUGUUCCAAGCAGAUCGUUCAAAGGGGAUUUUAAGCUCCCAGAAAAUGGGGUCUUUGUCUAAUUCACUGCCACGUCCUCAGCACCUAGCGCAAUCCUUGACCCAUAGCACGUGUUCACUAACUGUUUGUGAAGCAAAUGAAUAAACGGACAUCUCCCCAGGCCUGCAGGCAAAGGACAGAGGGAAUUUGUGACAAAUCGUUACCUCACAUUCACGUUUUCUCAAAUGUGACCCCCUAUACUCAUGCUACCAGAGGAGAAAGUCCUUCCGUGUAGUUAAGGGAAAGGAUUUCUUUAGCUCCUCUCUGGUGAAGUCACAAAUAAUCUCUCAGAAGGCAUUAUUUAUUUUACUUUGUCUUUUUUUGUUUUAAUAAAUGAAAUGGCAUGACGGCUCACCAGCUGCUUUUUGCAAUGAAAAAAGAUAACACAUUGCGAUUGCCAGAAACAGAUGUUGAAGAGGCCUAGAAAUCUGAUUUUUCCACAUCAGGGACCCUGUUGUGUAUUGAAAUAAAUUGACGGGUUUACUGGAAGCUAGAUUGUUGGUUUCUUUGAGGUUGCUCGCUCAUUGCAUUAGAGAAGGGGUCCGGGGAACGCCAUAGAAACGGAUGGGCCCCGGAGGAGCCCUUGCCUGCCACGGGCUCCUGCUACUUCGGGCUGACUGGCUCCAUGUAACACAGCAUUCCCCUGCCUGCUCACUCAUUGCCAUCGUUGACCCAUGCCCGGUGUAAACAUGGAUGGGGUGGACAGAGACAGUCUAUUCUGGUUAAUGAAU